GGCCGGGGUCGUCUUACCGCCUCGCUUCGGCGGGGAGGAAAGUCCGGACAGCACAGAGCACCCUACUUCCUAACGGGAAGGCGGGCGGUGGGUAACCGCCGCCCGACAGCCAGUGUCACAGAAAACAGACCGCCAACGUUGGCGUUUGCAGUUUUCAGUUUCUCGUUUUUAGUUGGCUGGUGCAAGCUUAGUCUCGCGUAAGCCAACUGAAAACCGGAAGCUGAAAACUGCAAACGCCUUCAGGGUAAGGGUGAAAAGGGGGUGUAAGAGACCACCGCUCGGCUGGCGACAGGCGGGGCACGAUAAACCUUAGGGGCUGAAAGACCAAAUAAGCACCGGAUGCGGGGCGGCUCGUCUCCAGAUGGCCUCCGGGUCACUGCCGGUGCGGGUAGGUCGAUAGAGGGGGUCGGUGACGGCCCUCCCAGAUAAAUGGUAAGACGGUUCGGCGCGCCCACGGGUACGGCCGGGCCGACAGAAUCCGGCUUAUAGACCCCGGCUCUUG
rnacentral:RNase_P_RNA from 2 species